rnacentral:rRNA from 1 species
UACGGGGGGGGCAAGCGUUGUUCGGAAUUACUGGGCGUAAAGGGUUCGUAGGUGGCCAACUAAGUCAGACGUGAAAUCCCUCAGCUCAACUGGGGAACUGCGUCUGAUACUGGUUGGCUUGAGUGCAGGAGAGGAACGCGGAAUUCCAGGUGUAGCGGUGAAAUGCGUAGAUAUCGGAAGGAACAUCAGUGGCGAAAGCGGCUUCCUGGACCAGAACUGACGAUCAGGCACGAAAGCGUGGGGAGCAAACAGG